GCAGGGCAUGGUGGCGGUUGCCUGUAAUCCCAGCUACUCAGGAGGCUGAGGCAGGAGAAUCGCUUGAACCCGGGAGGUGGAGGUUGCAGUGAGCUGAGAUCAUGCCAUUGCACUCCACCCUGGGUGACAGAGCGAGACUCUGUCUCAA
rfam:Pan troglodytes isolate Yerkes chimp pedigree #C0471 (Clint) chromosome 14, whole genome shotgun sequence.